UGCGUAGGCGGACUAAUAAGUCAGUGGUGAAAUCUUUCGGCUCAACCGAGAAACUGCCAUUGAUACUGUUAGUCUUGAGUUCGGUUGAGGUAGGCGGAAUGUGUAAUGUAGCGGUGAAAUGCUUAGAUAUUACACAGAACACCAAUUGCGUAGGCAGCUUACUAGACCGACACUGACGCUGAGGCACGAAAGCGUAGGGAGCGAACAGGAUUAGAUACCCUGGUAGUCC
rnacentral:rRNA from 1 species